UACGUAGGGGCCUAGCGUUGUCCGGAAUUAUUGGGCGUAAAGGGCUCGUAGGCGGUCCAUCACGUCGGGAGUGAAAAGCUGGGGCUUAACCCCAGUCCUGCUUCCGAUACGGGUGGACUAGAGGUAGGCAGGGGAGAACGGAAUUCCUGGUGUAGCGGUGAAAUGCGCAGAUAUCAGGAGGAACACCGGUGGCGAAGGCGGUUCU
rnacentral:rRNA from 1 species